rnacentral:rRNA from 1 species
UACGGGGGGGCAAGCGUUGUUCGGAAUUACUGGGCGUAAAGGGCUCGUCGGCGGCCAACUAAGUCAAACGUGAAAUCCCUCGGCUUAACCGGGGAACUGCGCUUGAUACUGGAUGGCUUGAGAUUGGGAGAGGGAUGCGGAAUUCCAGGUGUAGCGGUGAAAUGCGUAGAUAUCUGGAGGAACACCGGUGGCGAAGGCGGCAUCCUGGACCAACACUGACGCUGAGGAGCGAAAGCCAGGGGAGCAAACGGG